rnacentral:rRNA from 1 species
GCUGGCGGGCGUGCCUAAUACAUGCGAGUCGAGCGAAUGGAUUAAGAGCUUGCUCUUAUGAAGUUAGCGGCGGACGGGUGAGUAACACGUGGGUAACCUGCCCAUAAGACUGGGAUAACUCCGGGAAACCGGGGCUAAUACCGGAUAACAUUUUGAACCGCAUGGUUCGAAAUUGAAAGGCGGCUUCGGCUGUCACUUAUGGAUGGACCCGCGUCGCAUUAGCUAGUUGGUGAGGUAACGGCUCACCAAGGCAACGAUGCGUAGCCGACSUGAGAGGGUGAUCGGCCACACUGGGACUGASACACGGCCCAGACUCCUACGGGAGGCAGCAGUAGGGAAUCUUCCGCAAUGGACGAAAGUCUGACGGAGCAACGCCGCGUGAGUGAUGAAGGCUUUCGGGUCGUAAAACUCUGUUGUUAGGGAAGAACAAGUGCUAGUUGAAUAAGCUGGCACCUUGACGGUACCUAACCAGAAAGCCRCGGCUAACUACGUGCCAGCAGCCGCGGURAUACGUACGUGGCAAGCGUUAUCCGGAAAUUAUUGGGCGUAAAGCGCGCGCAGUGGUUUCUUAAGUCUGAUGUGAAAGCCCACCGGCUCAUCCGUGGAGGUUCRUGAACUGGUAGACUGASUGCAGAGGAGGAAAAGUGGUACUUCCAGUGUGUA